GCCGGGCGUGGUGGCGCACACCUGUAAUCCCAGCUACUCGGGAGGCUGAGGCAGGAGAAUUGCUUGAAUCCAGGAGGCAGAGGUUGUAGUGUGCUGGGAUCAUACCAUUGCACUCCAGCCUGGGUGACAGAGCUAGACUCUGCCUCGA
ensembl:misc_RNA Metazoa_SRP Metazoan signal recognition particle RNA